rnacentral:rRNA from 1 species
UGCAGUCGAGCGGUAGAGAGAAGCUUGCUUCUCUUGAGAGCGGCGGACGGGUGAGUAAUGCCUAGGAAUCUGCCUGGUAGUGGGGGAUAACGUUCGGAAACGGACGCUAAUACCGCAUACGUCCUACGGGAGAAAGCAGGGGACCUUCGGGCCUUGCGCUAUCAGAUGAGCCUAGGUCGGAUUAGCUAGUUGGUGAGGUAAUGGCUCACCAAGGCGACGAUCCGUAACUGGUCUGAGAGGAUGAUCAGUCACACUGGAACUGAGACACGGUCCAGACUCCUACGGGAGGCAGCAGUGGGGAAUAUUGGACAAUGGGCGAAAGCCUGAUCCAGCCAUGCCGCGUGUGUGAAGAAGGUCUUCGGAUUGUAAAGCACUUUAAGUUGGGAGGAAGGGUUGUAGAUUAAUACUCUGCAAUUUUGACGUUACCGACAGAAUAAGCACCGGCUAACUCUGUGCCAGCAGCCGCGGUAAUACAGAGGGUGCAAGCGUUAAUCGGAAUUACUGGGCGUAAAGCGCGCGUAGGUGGUUUGUUAAGUUGGAUGUGAAAUCCCCGGGCUCAACCUGGGAACUGCAUUCAAAACUGACUGACUAGAGUAUGGUAGAGGGUGGUGGAAUUUCCUGUGUAGCGGUGAAAUGCGUAGAUAUAGGAAGGAACACCAGUGGCGAAGGCGACCACCUGGACUAAUACUGACACUGAGGUGCGAAAGCGUGGGGAGCAAACAGGAUUAGAUACCCUGGUAGUCCACGCCGUAAACGAUGUCAACUAG